UACGUAGGGUGCAAGCGUUAUCCGGAAUUAUUGGGCGUAAAGAGCUCGUAGGCGGUUUGUCGCGUCUGCUGUGAAAACUGGGGGCUCAACCCCCAGCCUGCAGUGGGUACGGGCAGACUAGAGUGCGGUAGGGGAGAUUGGAAUUCCUGGUGUAGCGGUGGAAUGCGCAGAUAUCAGGAGGAACACCAAUGGCGAAGGCAGAUCUCUGGGCCGUAACUGACGCUGAGGAGCGAAAGCAUGGGGAGCGAACAGG
rnacentral:rRNA from 3 species